AUUGAACGCUGGCGGCAGGCCUAACACAUGCAAGUCGAGCGGAUGAAGGGAGCUUGCUCCUGGAUUCAGCGGCGGACGGGUGAGUAAUGCCUAGGAAUCUGCCUGGUAGUGGGGGAUAACGUCCGGAAACGGGCGCUAAUACCGCAUACGUCCUGAGGGAGAAAGUGGGGGAUCUUCGGACCUCACGCUAUCAGAUGAGCCUAGGUCGGAUUAGCUAGUUGGUGGGGUAAAGGCCUACCAAGGCGACGAUCCGUAACUGGUCUGAGAGGAUGAUCAGUCACACUGGAACUGAGACACGGUCCAGACUACUACGUGAGGCAGCAGUGGGGAAUAUUGGACAAUGGGCGAAAGCCUGAUCCAGCCAUGCCGCGUGUGUGAAGAAGGUCUUCGGAUUGUAAAGCACUUUAAGUUGGGAGGAAGGGCAGUAAGUUAAUACCUUGCUGUUUUGACGUUACCAACAGAAUAAGCACCGGCUAACUUCGUG
rnacentral:rRNA from 1 species